GACGAACGCUGGCGGCGUGCUUAACACAUGCAAGUCGAACGGAAAGGCCCUGCUUUUGUGGGGUGCUCGAGUGGCGAACGGGUGAGUAACACGUGAGUAACCUGCCCUUGACUUUGGGAUAACUUCAGGAAACUGGGGCUAAUACCGGAUAGGAGCUCCUGCUGCAUGGUGGGGGUUGGAAAGUUUCGGCGGUUGGGGAUGGACUCGCGGCUUAUCAGCUUGUUGGUGGGGUAGUGGCUUACCAAGGCUUUGACGGGUAGCCGGCCUGAGAGGGUGACAGGCCACAUUGGGACUGGGAUGCGGCCAAGACUCCUACGGGAGGCAGCAGUGGGGAAUAUUGCAAAUGGGCGGAAGCCUGAUGCAGCAACGCCGCGUGCGGGAUGACGGCCUUCGGGUUGUAAACCGCUUUCGCCUGUGACGAAGCGUGAGUGACGGUAAUGGGUAAAGAAGCACCGGCUAACUACGUG
rnacentral:rRNA from 1 species